GAUGAACGCUGGCGGCGUGCCUAAUACAUGCAAGACGAGCGAACAGACGAGGAGCUUGCUCCUCUGACGUUAGCGGCGGACGGGUGAGUAACACGUGGAUAACCUACCUAUAAGACUGGGAUAACUUCGGGAAACCGGAGCUAAUACCGGAUAAUAUAUUGAACCGCAUGGUUCAAUAGUGAAAGACGGUUUUGCUGUCACUUAUAGAUGGAUCCGCGCCGCAUUAUCUAGUUGGUAAGGUAACGGCUUACCAAGGCAACGAUGCGUAGCCGACCUGAGAGGGUGAUCGGCCACACUGGAACUGAGACACGGUCCAGACUCCUACGGGAGGCAGCAGUAGGGAAUCUUCCGCAAUGGGCGAAAGCCUGACGGAGCAACGCCGCGUGAGUGAUGAAGGUCUUCGGAUCGUAAAACUCUGUUAUUAGGGAAGAACAAAUGUGUAAGUAACUAUGCACGUCUUGACGGUACCUAAUCAGAAAGCCGCGGCUAACUACGUG
rnacentral:rRNA from 1 species